rnacentral:rRNA from 1 species
CAAUACUCCCGCCGGCGACCGGCGCACGGGUGAGUAACACGUAUGAAACCUGCCCGUAGCAGGGGGAUAAGCGGAAGAAAUUCCGUCUAAUACCGCGUAACAACCCGAGGAGGCAUCUCCUCGGGUUUAAAGGAAGCGAUUCCGGCUACGGAUGGUCAUGCGUCGCAUUAGCUAGUUGGCGGGGUAACGGCCCACCAAGGCGACGAUGCGUAGGGGUUCUGAGAGGGAGGUCCCCCACACUGGUACUGAGACACGGACCAGACUCCUACGGGAGGCAGCAG